rnacentral:rRNA from 1 species
UUGACGGGGCCCGCACAAGCGGUGGAGCAUGUGGUUUAAUUCGACGCAACGCGAAGAACCUUACCUGGGCUUGACAUCCCGAUCGUACCUGCUGGAAACAGCGGGGUCAGUUCGGCUGGAUCGGAGACAGGUGCUGCAUGGCUGUCGUCAGCUCGUGUCGUGAGAUGUUGGGUUAAGUCCCGCAACGAGCGCAACCCUUGUCCUUAGUUGCCAUCAUUUAGUUGGGCACUCUAAGGAGACUGCCGGUGUUAAACCGGAGGAAGGUGGGGAUGACGUCAAGUCCUCAUGGCCCUUAUGUCCAGGGCUACACACGUGCUACAAUGGCCGGUACAAAGGGCAGCAAAGCCGCGAGGUGGAGCCAAUCCCAGAAAGCCGGUCUCAGUUCGGAUUGGAGUCUGCAACUCGACUCCAUGAAGUUGGAAUCGCUAGUAAUCGCGGAUCAGCAUGCCGCGGUCGAAUACGUUCCCGGGCCUU